UUGAAAGUAAAUAUUACUCGGUACAGUGAUAGCUUUUAUUGAAGUUGAGUUUUAUUAUAUGUAAAAUGUAAGUACCUACCUACGUAUUUGAUCGAUGCUGAUAAGUGUUGGUAAAUUAAAAAUGCAUUCUCCAAUUUUCUCAUCCGUGUAUGAGGCUGUGUAGUCUUCUUUACAAUUUAACGAAGCUGUCUAAUUUUUAUCAAUUUCAUUUCGCUAUCUCAUUAAUCGAAUCGAUUCGUUCAAUAAAUAAGUACCCACUUCGAGCGAUGUGCUUACUUACGUGAUAACAGCUGAUCUACGAAGUCGAUGAUUGAUAUGGCGACGAUCAUCAAUGAGUAGUGAGGAGAUUUUUUUCUUCAAAAUUUUGUGAGACAUGUCAUUUGAAGUAUUUUAUUUGUUGUUUUUAUAUAUUUUGAAUAAUCCGGCGAGUGUGUUUUGUUGGGAAUUGCAAGAUGCGAGCAAAAAAUUAGGAAGAGAAUGGUCACAGGAGUUAGUAGGCCAGAAUAUAUGCGCCGAAAAAUACACCUACAAAGAACGAUAUUACGUAUGCUACGAGGCUACAAAAAUAAUCAAGAAAAAUAGAUCACUUCUGAACAGACUAUCCUUAGGAGCGGAUUCCGAAUUGAGAAAAAUCAGAUGCCGAGAACGAAGGGUAUAUUUUUCGUACAAAUUUGGCAAUGGAACUUACGCAACUGCUACUCGAUUGCUGUACCAAUGUCCUGUCGCCGAUCCGGAUCAUAAUGAGUAUUUUUUUGGCCAAGGAAAACAUAAAAAUGAAAUCGGUAUUUACAAUAUGGUAUACGUGGAGGGACAAGGGAAAGAGAUAUGGUUUUAUGGUGUGAUGAAAGACAUUGAUUUAGAUACUUUUGGGAAACAACUUUAUAGGAAAAAUGUUAAAUUGAUUCAUUGAUUUCUAAAUCAACUCAUCUUGGUCUUCGCGUCAGAUUGUUUUGUAAUUGUUUUAUUUUUACUUUUUUUUUUUUAAUUUAAGUGAUUUUUAAUACAUAAUUUUAUAGCAAGGAUAGGUACUUAAUCUACCAACUUUUAUCUGAGUUUUUUUUUUUCAUUUCAAUUUUUUUAGUAAAAUGAGGCAUUUCUUGAAUUAAAGUAGGUAGGUAUAAUUCUUCUGGGAAUCAUGAAGCAGGCAGCAGGCAUCCCUUCUGAAUAAAGAUGCAUUCCUCAAUUCUAAUUUUUUUGAGCCAUUGCACGAAUAUUUUGAUGAAAGAGAAGAUAAAAAUUGUAAUCAUUCAAAACCGAGAAAAUACAUCACAAAAUGUGUGUUGCAAACUGUUACAAAACAAUAUAACCAUAACUGUCAUCAUAAUUUUCCUAUGAUGUACUCUUCAAAAUCAUUUGCCGCCAAAACAUUCACCUACAAACUGUCUGAUCGUUUGUUCACCGACGAAUUCGUGUUCUUAACUGAAAGCUAGAUAAUAGAUAUGUUGAUUCCCUUUUGUGAAAAAUUUUCAAAAUUUUCUACAUAUGUGUAGCCAUACAGAAACCAAUAAAACUGAAAGAAUUUUUCUUGAAGCACUAUGCUUCUUUUUGUUAUGUUGGACUUCGGUAAAUUGCUGGAAAUUUGUGGAAACGAAUUUCGAUAUUGACAGAGCUUGGGCUGAAGAAGUAAAUGGCCAAAACUUGUGCGAUUAUAAGCACUAUAAACUCAAACAUCGUUACUACGUUUGCGACGAAGCCACCAAAGGAAAAAACGAAAAAGGCAAAAUCACGAUCCCCCCAAUCUCGCUGAAGAAAUAUUCCAAAUUAGGAAAAGAUGAAAUGGACUGUUUCGAAAAGCCACUAACGGUGUACUUUUCUGUUACACGUCAAGAUGGAAGUCACGUCACCGCGGAAAGGUUUCUCUUCACAUGCCCAACUGAUGACGAAGAAGGCAAAAAAUAUUAUUUUGGAAGAGGCAAAAAUGUAAAUGAAAUCGGCGUUUAUAAGAUUCAAUUAGUCGAAAAGAAGAAAAAAUUAUGUUUUGUAGGUUACGUCAAAGGAAUAGACUUGAAGUAUUUUUAUUAUCGUUGGAUUAGCGUUUGGAAUAAAAUACCUAUACUGAACAUCUUGGCACCAUUUUAAAAGAUAGGUAUCGUAAUUAUACCUGUACUACUUUAUAUUGGUAAGAACUGCUUCUGGAAGUACAGAGGUUAGAUAAUAAAUUUUGUUAAAAUGUAGCAAUUAUUUCUCGAAAGUUUGCAGCAAAAUGAAAUAAAGUGAAAAAUAUUUUGUUU